UGCUUGGGAAUAUGCCUUUAGGUGGGGGACAACAGUUGGAAACGACUGCUAAUACCGCAUAAUGUCUACGGACCAAAGUAGGGGAUCUUCGGACCUUACGCCUUUAGAUUAGCCCAAGUGGGAUUAGGUAGUUGGUGAGGUAAAAGCUCACCAAGCCCACGAUCCCUAGCUGGUUUGAGAGGAUGAUCAGCCACACUGGAACUGAGACACGGUCCAGACUCCUACGGGAGGCAGCAGUGGGGAAUAUUGCACAAUGGGCGCAAGCCUGAUGCAGCCAUGCCGCGUGUGUGAAGAAGGCCC
rnacentral:rRNA from 1 species